rnacentral:rRNA from 1 species
CAGCAGCCGCGGUAAUACAGAGGGUGCGAGCGUUAAUCGGAUUUACUGGGCGUAAAGCGUGCGUAGGCGGCUUUUUAAGUCGGAUGUGAAAUCCCUGAGCUUAACUUAGGAAUUGCAUUCGAUACUGGGAAGCUAGAGUAUGGGAGAGGAUGGUAGAAUUCCAGGUGUAGCGGUGAAAUGCGUAGAGAUCUGGAGGAAUACCGAUGGCGAAGGCAGCCAUCUGGCCUAUACUGACGCUGAGGUACGUAAGCAUGGGGAGCAAACAGGAUUAGAUACCCCAGUAGUCCCUGUCUCUUAUACA